rnacentral:rRNA from 1 species
UACGUAGGGGGCAAGCGUUGUCCGGAUUUAUUGGGCGUAAAGAGCGUGUAGGCGGUCAGGUAGGUCCGUUGUGAAAACUCGAGGCUCAACCUUGAGACGCCGAUGGAAACCAUCUGACUAGAGUCCGGAAGAGGAGAGUGGAAUUCCUGGUGUAGCGGUGAAAUGCGCAGAUAUCAGGAAGAACACCCGUGGCGAAGGCGGCUCUCUGGGACGGUACUGACGCUGAGACGCGAAAGCGUGGGGAGCGAACAGG